UUGAACGCUGGCGGCAGGCCUAACACAUGCAAGUCGAACGGUAACAGGAAGCAGCUUGCUGCUUUGCUGACGAGUGGCGGACGGGUGAGUAAUGUCUGGGAAACUGCCUGAUGGAGGGGGAUAACUACUGGAAACGGUAGCUAAUACCGCAUAACGUCGCAAGACCAAAGAGGGGGACCUUCGGGCCUCUUGCCAUCAGAUGUGCCCAGAUGGGAUUAGCUAGUAGGUGGGGUAACGGCUCACCUAGGCGACGAUCCCUAGCUGGUCUGAGAGGAUGACCAGCCACACUGGAACUGAGACACGGUCCAGACUCCUACGGGAGGCAGCAGUGGGGAAUAUUGCACAAUGGGCGCAAGCCUGAUGCAGCCAUGCCGCGUGUAUGAAGAAGGCCUUCGGGUUGUAAAGUACUUUCAGCGGGGAGGAAGGCGAUGUGGUUAAUAACCGCGUCGAUUGACGUUACCCGCAGAAGAAGCACCGGCUAACUCCGUGCCAGCAGCCGCGGUAAUACGGAGGGUGCAAGCGUUAAUCGGAAUUACUGGGCGUAAAGCGCACGCAGGCGGUCUGUCAAGUCGGAUGUGAAAUCCCCGGGCUCAACCUGGGAACUGCAUCCGAAACUGGCAGGCUUGAGUCUCGUAGAGGGGGGUAGAAUUCCAGGUGUAGCGGUGAAAUGCGUAGAGAUCUGGAGGAAUACCGGUGGCGAAGGCGGCCCCCUGGACGAAGACUGACGCUCAGGUGCGAAAGCGUGGGGAGCAAACAGGAUUAGAUACCCUGGUAGUCCACGCCGUAAACGAUGUCGACUUGGAGGUUGUGCCCUUGAGGCGUGGCUUCCGGAGCUAACGCGUUAAGUCGACCGCCUGGGGAGUACGGCCGCAAGGUUAAAACUCAAAUGAAUUGACGGGGGCCCGCACAAGCGGUGGAGCAUGUGGUUUAAUUCGAUGCAACGCGAAGAACCUUACCUGGUCUUGACAUCCACAGAACUUUCCAGAGAUGGAUUGGUGCCUUCGGGAACUGUGAGACAGGUGCUGCAUGGCUGUCGUCAGCUCGUGUUGUGAAAUGUUGGGUUAAGUCCCGCAACGAGCGCAACCCUUAUCCUUUGUUGCCAGCGGUUAGGCCGGGAACUCAAAGGAGACUGCCAGUGAUAAACUGGAGGAAGGUGGGGAUGACGUCAAGUCAUCAUGGCCCUUACGACCAGGGCUACACACGUGCUACAAUGGCGCAUACAAAGAGAAGCGAUCUCGCGAGAGCCAGCGGACCUCAUAAAGUGCGUCGUAGUCCGGAUUGGAGUCUGCAACUCGACUCCAUGAAGUCGGAAUCGCUAGUAAUCGUGAAUCAGAAUGUCACGGUGAAUACGUUCCCGGGCCUUGUACACACCGCCCGUCACACCAUGGGAGUGGGUUGCAAAAGAAGUAGGUAGCUUAACCUUCGGGAGGGCGCUUACCACUUUGUGAUUCAUGACUGGGGUG
rnacentral:rRNA from 1 species